rnacentral:lncRNA from 1 species
CCUUUUUUUCCCGGCUCGCCCCUCAGCCCUUCGGUUUCUUUUCGAUAAGUUACCGUCUUGGGGGGGGGGGCGGGGGGAUGUGUAAGAAGGGGAUCCUUUUUUUUGCACCGUCUUCUGCCUGUUUGUGGCGGCAGGAGCUUCGCUGACUUUCAUUUCGUGGUCGCGGUAAGGGGAUGCCCGAUGGCGUAAAUAUGCAGUCAGAUGGUUGAUGCAGGUUUAACACACACAGAGACACACACACACAUACAAACACCACUACCUCCCCCUUCACCCCACGGGACAGUUUAAGACCAGUGGCAUAAAACGGAAUGGCUUCUGAAAGCUCAGGUUAGCCUGUCCGGAUUGAUUGCUGGAAGCGAAAGGAACGCAACUCGAUGGCAAUAGACAUGAAUGGGCUUUUUUAAAAAAAGCAUUAUUAGAACUGCACUGCAGGCGAAAAGGAAGGCAAGUCAGGUGUAUAACUGAGCCGUGGGGUUUGCCGGUGGGAUCCAGCAAACCCAGAGGAAUGCCGCUAAGAAGGUGUGUGUGAUCGGCGGUGUGUGUGAUCGAGAUAUUAUUUUAGAGCACAGAAGUUGUAGAUGAUAUCUGCUGAUGUUUGCCACUACAUAUGAGGAACUGAAAAUUAGACCUGCUGUCCAAGAGUUUCAGUGCUUUCAGAUGAACACAAGCCUGCUAUCUUUAACACUGCAUGGAUUACAACAAAUACAGUAUUGCACUAAUCUGUAUAUUUUGAGAAAAUAAAUUGAUUCCCAGAGGAGUGAUUUUUUUAAAAAAAAACUCCAUGCUCAAUAUCUGGAAAUUGUUUAAUGUUUUUUCCCUUCCCAAGCAUAAUACCUUGCCGUACUGCACAGUACACAACCAACAAUGUCAAAAAGUGAGCAGGAAAGCAGAACACGGCACAAGGAAAAUAAUAUAACUCUUGUAAAAUGUGUUAACCACAAGCUCAAGAUGUUGCAUUCUGCAAAGAAUAGAGGGUCACUGCCUCACUGUACCAUCUUUCAUGCAGAAUAAUUAAAAAGGAGAAAAUGGAAUCAGACAGUCUGGAAAUGGCUUAAAAAUUCCAACUUAGAACAAUCACUACAAAUGAGCAAAACUCAGGGAUUCUUUGACAUUUUAUGUGGCACAUGUCUGAUAUUUACCAGAGUGAACACUGUAAACUUUGCCUUGUAAAGGAAGGCUGAGGAACCUGCAGUCCUCUAGUUGUUUCUGAAUUUUAGUUCUUAGUUAGUUUGACCAAGCAUGAAGUGUGAUGAGAGCAGCAGUUCAUCAGCUUUCAGAGAGCUGAAGUUUCCCCAAUGCUAGUGUAAAGUAUGAAGGGAGAAUAUGCACCCAUCUACAUAAAUAUGUCAUGGACAUUUUCCAGGAAUCUACAUCCAAGUAAGGGCCUUCAGGGCAGCUGCCUGCUAUGAGUCUUCGGUGACUUUUUCUCAUAAUGUAUUGUAACAAUAUUGAAUUCAGCACUAAUUGUAGAGUGAGCAAAAGCAGAUGGGGAAGCA